rnacentral:rRNA from 1 species
AGUGAACGCUGGCGGUAGGCCUAACACAUGCAAGUCGAACGGCAGCACAGUAAGAGCUUGCUCUUACGGGUGGCGAGUGGCGGACGGGUGAGGAAUACAUCGGAAUCUACUUUUUCGUGGGGGUUAACGUAGGGAAACUUACGCUAAUACCGCAUACGACCUACGGGUGAAAGCAGGGGAUCUUCGGACCUUGCGCGAUUGAAUGAGCCGAUGUCGGAUUAGCUAGUUGGCGGGGUAAAGGCCCACCAAGGCGACGAUCCGUAGCUGGUCUGAGAGGAUGGUCAGCCACACUGGAACUGAGACACGGUCCAGACUCCUACGGGAGGCAGCAGUGGGGAAUAUUGGACAAUGGGCGCAAGCCUGAUCCAGCCAUACCGCGUGAGUGAAGAAGGCCUUCGGGUUGUAAAGCCCUUUUGUUGGGAAAGAAAAGCAGCAGGUUAAUACCCCGCUGUUCUGACGGUACCCAAAGAAUAAGCACCGGCUAACUUCGUG